CCUGUGAAACCCCAGUGGCAGUGCCUGGCUGUCAGGAUGCUGGCCCCAAUGUUGACAGAUGUGAUGGGCUUUGGCUCCAGGUUCCUGUCCUGAGACCACAGCAGAAAGUGCCUUGGAUGAAGGCUUGGACUCCUGUAUCGUCUGGUGACUUCAAUUGUCUGGUGAGUCUUAGGGUGAGAGAACU